AUGGCGGAGAUUGGUUCUGGGAGUGGAUCGGGAGAUCGUAUCCCUGAAGAAGCGGCAACCCUGCUGGAGAGAUUGAACCUCCAGGAUGAGGAGGUGGAUGAUCUAGUCUGGGAAGAUGAAGCUGACGUUGAGGAAAUUAAGCCAAAGUGGCUAGCCCUAGGGCGGCUGUUGACAACCAAAAGCUUCAGUCAGAGCGCGUUGAUUGCGGACAUGAAGGCGGCCUGGAACGCAGCGCAUCAGGUGGUUUGGAGGAGAAUCAAUACAAAUCUGUUUUCAAUUCAAUUCAACUGCCUGGGGGAAUGG
rnacentral:rRNA from 1 species